UAUCUUUAUCAGUCUAAGUUUUAUUUAUGGUGAGAUAUGAAUAUACGUGUAGUAAAAAAUUUCAUUCUAAAUUUUCUAUGUGAUACAGGUUAGAAUUUGUGUACGUGUUCAACGUCAAUGUUAAUAAAAAAUUCAGUAUUCUUGGUUACCGGGGGUGCAUCUGACCAAUAUGGAAUAGCUGCAGUUGAAGCAUUACUUAAAGAAGGAGGAAAAGUAAUAAUAUGUGAUUUUCCAACAAAAGAUUUACAUAUUUAUGGCGAUGACAAGGCGAUUUUUUUACCCAUAAAUAUAAUGGAUGAAAAUGAUAUAAAAACAUUAAAUGAAAUUAUAGUAGAAAAGUAUGGAAGAUUAGAUGGUGUAAUCAACUGCAUUGAUCAACAAAAGUUUGGACUUGCAUACGAUUUUAAUAAAAUGGAGCCUCAGGAUCUCAAAGAAUUCACGGAAGUGGUCCAUGAAAAUGUUUUAGGGCCAUUUAACGUAAUACGAUUAACAAUACCGCUGAUGUCUAAAAACAUACCAAAAAAAGGAAGCGGUCGUGGUAUAAUUAUAAACAUGUCUAACGCGGCAGCUUUUGAUGGAGUUAAGGGAUCUAUUGCUUAUGCAGCUAGUAAAGCUGCUGUAAUAAAAAUGACUGAGUCACUUAGUUAUGAACUGCAAGGAAUUCAAAUUAGAUGUGUUUCUAUUGUUACAAGCUCAGGUGGUAGCGACACAUUGGACGAAUUCGAUGGAAUUCCUGAGGAUUCAACUAAAGCAGCUAAUGUAAUUUCCGAACCACAGAAGUUUGCAGAUCUCAUAAAAACUGUUAUUAAAAAUCCGGCUAUGAACUUGCCAAUGAUGAUGCUAAAUAACUUUAAUACGAGUUAAAUUGGAAGUUAGAGGAGGCAAUUUGUUAUGCUGCACAAACCUAUAUUCUGUACGUUUCCUUUUUACCAGAGAUGCCAAGUAUAGACAGUAAUGGAAAAUUAAUAUUAAAAAUUCUUGCUUAAAAACCGCUGGCAAAAUAAUUCAAACAGAACACUUUGUCCAACCAUUUUACCCCAGAAUUCAUUCUACCCCCAAUCGUCAGACGAAAACACUAACUAUCAAAGCACUUAGAGAGACUAGGUUGUACCAGGUGAUUUAUUAAGGGUGUCACAGGGUAGCAUAUUUCAGAGCCUGUAUAUUAUGUAGUAGACCUGAGGAAGUUUUGGACUUUAACUUAUCGGUAUGAAGGUAGAAUGUGGCGGAGCCACGAACUUAUAAAUAUUUUUAAGUUCGUGGGCGAAGCGGAAUAGUCUGCAAGAAACAAGCCAAGACUCAUGGUUUUCUUCCAAUUUAAAGUUCCUAGGUAAUUUUAUAGUAUUUGUAGUUUUUUUUGAGUCAUGGGUUGAUAAAUUAUCUUACAAACGUGCCAACAUCGAAUCAUCGUGCAACUGCGGAAUAGGAGAGAGGUAAAUUUCAGGUUAAGAUGCAUCUUGGAUGUAUUAUCAUUUUUCAGGGUAUAAUUAUAGAUUAAAUACUAUUUUGGACCUAUCUAUGUCCCUGUUCUCAUUUUAACAUUUUUUUUACAAUUCAGUUUUAAUUCUUGGACUUCCAUUGGAAAAACGUCUAGUAUUUUAUUUUCCUUGUCUUUAUCUACAUUAAGAUACUCAUGAAAAUGUACUUUAUGCACUAGUUUGUAUAUUAGGAAUUGCCCAGACAGUCACAGAAAUCAUAGAUUUCUUUAAAUUUCCAUUAAAUCCAUCCUUACAAAAAUCUUGGAGGAAGAUCUGUCAUGUAAGUCUGACUAAAAAUGUCACCAAUUAUCGAGUUUGCUCCAAACACUUUUCCGGUUCUGAUUUUAAUAACCCUGAUAAUCCUGUGCGACUUAGAUAGAAUGCUGGAGUAGAAAUGAUAUUCAGUAAAUUCGGAUGGAGUAGAAAUACACCUAUUUGUUCAGUUUAAAGAAAAUGAUGACAUGCAGAUUGACAUAUCCUUCUCAAAAACUGAUUUUCCUAACCGACUUAAUCUAGACUACCUAUCUACCGACUAAUAAGUGUUGGUCAUUCUAAAAAACAGAAAAAGUGUUGACAAUCUAAAAUGCUUUCAAAAUAAACAAAAAUCU
rnacentral:misc_RNA from 1 species